UCAGAGUUCUUCAGCGUCUGUGGCAAAGAGCCAGAAGUUAAGGCUGCUACCUUCCUGGUCUCCCAGGAACUUCAGGACCAGGAAAACUCAGCUGUUCUGGGGUGCUGACAAGGUUUCAUUUUAAAACAAAGUUUUCCAGUGUUAAUCUGAUCUUAUAACACCUCUCCCUGUCCUCUGUGGUUUUGUAGAGGUGGAUGAAGGUUGCUAGAGAUCAUGUCUAACAUGUUAAAAAAUGCCAAACUGAUAAAGGUGGUGGUAAUUGUAGGUUACAUUUGUUAGGUGCUUCAUUAGUUUCAAAGCACUUCAUGACCUUUAAUAUACUGACCCUGAGAGCAAGCAACAGGGUCGGUUAUUCCACUCACUUGACAAGUGAUGCGAUAGAUUCUAAGGAGAAAUGAAAUGGCCCAAAGUGAGCUCACUGCUGGGAUCCUGGCAGGCUACCUAGACCCCACGGUCUCCAGGUGACCUGGUGGCAGAGGAAAACACAGACCCAGGAGUGGCCUUUUCAUGUUUGUUCUUUCUACACCAGUAAAUAAAAGCUGUUUGCACCCCUCACUGUUCAUGUGGGUUAGCCCUGACAGAUGAAGGCAUGGAGCCUGCUAUUUAAUUCAUAGAGGUUCCAAGGCUCCGAAAAGUACAGGGACUUUCUGGUAAGGAACCCCCUGCUGGCGCUGUUCUCUCCAGGCCUGAUCCAAACAUAGGCUCAUGUUCUGAAGCAUCUGUGCUCUGCACCUCAUCUGGGAUUCAAGAGCAGAAAAGUCCCAAGGUGAAAACCAAGUAUUGGCAUGCUGUAGUCUAGAAGAACCAGACCCAUUAACUCUUUUUAGUAAGAGCACAAAAGCUGGCCUCACCCUUUUGUUUGAUAGAGAUCCACAAGUCUAGCCAAGCUUAGGGAGUCAUAGUGAAGGGACUGAGCCCUAGGGCACAGGGGGUUAUGUGACCACAGCUGGCAAGGUGACACGUAGCUGGCAGGAAUACUCUAGGUAUCAUCUAAACAGUCUGGAGGCUCAGUGGUCAAGACAGAGGAGGCCAGAGCUGGAAGGGUCCCCUCACCAUAGGAUGAGGGGUGUGCACAUGACCAUGAGCUGCCACACUGGCAUCACCAUACACAGACACCUUGUCCACACCUUUUCCCCUCCCCAGUGCAGUGCUGAAGGAGAGGUGCCUGAAGGAGAGGUGCCUCUGUUCACCAGCCUCCCUUAUCACCAUUUGUUCACCUUUAUCCACCCUGGGCCAGGAAGUCUGGAAACUGGACUACUCACAGUUAGUGAAAGCCUGAGAGUCUCUUGUCAUGCUUAAAACAAAACAAAACAAAAAACAAACAAAAGCCCUAUUUUUCUUCCUAUAAGAUAAACCACGUUUUCCUUCUCGUUAUCCCAGGAAUGCCCUAAAGUGCACCCCCUUCCCUGAAUAUUCAUCAGGGACACACAUCUAUCUGUCCAGACCUCUUUUUGUAAAGUACUUUGACUUUGAUUGCCAAAACCUCUAAAGAUAGGAGGCAGGGUAUGCAUCGUGAUGCUAUGAAGGGGUCACAGGCUUGCCAAAGGACACAUAGCUCAUGAGUGAAAGAGCCAAGAUUUAGACUCUUCUGAUCCUCUAUUCUUGUUGCUGCCUCCUACUGGAUCUCGAGUGUAAGCUUGCUUGAAGAAAGAAGGGGUUACUUGCUACCCCACACAGAAGCGUUUAUGAAGACUUGGGGAGCUCCGGUCCAUCAGCUGAGCAGAUUUUUAAGAAUUUCUGCUUUGGGCCAAGACCUAUAAUGGGCCCUGGAGACCCAGAGAUAGAUAGAUCCAGCUGGUAGUACAGAUAGGAAUUUGCCACAAAAGACCUAACUCAGGACACUGAAGGUGACAACUGCCUAGUACUGAAGAUAAUUGAGGACAGUAUCGUCCAUCUUUCAACAAAGAGUCUUGCUUCUGGAAAGCCUGCACAAUCUGUCCAUCUGGCUCCUGUCCAGAUCCAACAAAGUACGUUAACGGGGCAUGGUAUAAGCCUGAACUACUGAAAGCAUGUCUGGACUGGAGUACAAGGUUUAUUUGAGAACCAGAAACUAACUUGUGUCCCAUGUAUCCCAGUGCUUUCUGGCCAUCAGGGCAGUUCUACGUUUGAGACCUAGCAGUGUUUCUUUGGAAGGCUUGAUGCUCUGUUCUAAAUAGCUUUCAGAAAUGAGUCAUGGAGAGCAUACAAGUAGCACAAAUCCCUUGGUCACCAAGUUCUGGCAUCUGUAUUGUGCAGACAUGACACAUCAGAUAAGGCAUUGGCUGAACCAGGCUUAGUUCCCUGCAUAUCAGAUAUCUUGCCCCUGCUAUGGGCUCUGGUCUUCACAGCGUUCUGGCAGAAUCAGUCAUCAUCCCAUGUGUGACUCAUGUUCAGUGAGCUCUGCUUUUCCAUCUUGAGUUAACUACAUGACUGCUGAGUGUGUGGCCCCAAGUAUCUUGUCAAGCUAGGGAGACUAGAGAAGGAGGGCAGCCUGGGUUGGAGUGGACAAAGGAGAGCAAAGCAGCGGAAACAUCUUGGCUAGGUUUCCUGCUCAGACAACACCUGAGCCUCUAGACAGACUUCUGUGGACAUGCCGGGCUGGCAGCAAGGUUUGUCCUUUUCCUACCCCUGUUCGCUCUCCUAGGGGG
rnacentral:lncRNA from 1 species